AUACGGAUGGUGCGAGCGUUGUUCGGAAUUACUGGGCGUAAAGGGCGCGUAGGCGGCGAUGUAAGUCAAAUGUGAAAGUCCUCGGCUUAACCGGGGAAGUGCAUCUGAAACUGCAUUGCUUGAGUAUGGGAGAGGAAAGUGGAAUUCCCGGUGUAGAGGUGAAAUUCGUAGAGAUCGGGAGGAAUACCGGUGGCGAAGGCGACUUUCUGGACCAAUACUGACGCUGAGGCGCGAAAGCGUGGGGAGCAAACAGGAUUAGAAACCCUAGUAGUCC
rnacentral:rRNA from 1 species